GUCUCAGUACAAGCCAAAUUAAGGUGAAACCGCGAAAGGCUCAUUAAAUCAGUUAUGGUUCCUUAGAUCGUACCCACAAUUACUUGGAUAACUGUGGUAAUUCUAGAGCUAAUACAUGCAAACAGAGCUCCGACCGGAGACGGAAGGAGUGCUUUUAUUAGAUCAAAACCAAUCGGUGGCGAGUUCGCUCGUCAUCGUACAACUUGGUGACUCUGAAUAACUUUACGCUGAUCGCACGGUCUCGCACCGGCGACGCAUCUUUCAAAUGUCUGCCUUAUCAACUGUCGAUGGUAGGUUCUGCGCCUACCAUGGUUGUAACGGGUAACGGGGAAUCAGGGUUCGAUUCCGGAGAGGGAGCCUGAGAAACGGCUACCACAUCCAAGGAAGGCAGCAGGCGCGCAAAUUACCCACUCCCGGCACGGGGAGGUUGUGACGAAAAAUAACGAUACGGGACUCAUCCGAGGCCCCGUAAUCGGAAUGAGUACACUCUAAACCCUUUAACGAGGAUCAAUUGGAGGGCAAGUCUGGUGCCAGCAGCCGCGGUAAUUCCAGCUCCAAUAGCGUAUAUUAAAGUUGUUGCGGUUAAAAAGCUCGUAGUCGAAUUUGUGUCUCGUGCCGCUGGUUCAUCGUCCGCGGUGUUAACUGGCGAGUCGCGAGACGUCCUGCCGGUGGGCUUAGCUCGCAAGGGCGGCCCAACUCAAUCCUGCCGCGGUGCUCUUCACUGAGUGUCGAGGUGGGCCGGCACGUUUACUUUGAACAAAUUAGAGUGCUUAAAGCAGGCUAAAACUUCGCCUGAAUACUGUGUGCAUGGAAUAAUGGAAUAGGACCUCGGUUCUAUUUUGUUGGUUUUCGGAACCCCGAGGUAAUGAUUAAUAGGAACGGAUGGGGGCAUUCGUAUUGCGACGUUAGAGGUGAAAUUCUUGGAUCGUCGCAAGACGGACAGAAGCGAAAGCAUUUGCCAAAAACGCUUUCAUUGAUCAAGAACGAAAGUUAGAGGUUCGAAGGCGAUCAGAUACCGCCCUAGUUCUAACCAUAAACGAUGCCAGCUAGCGAUCCGUCGACGUUCCUCCGAUGACUCGACGGGCAGCUUCCGGGAAACCAAAGCUUUUGGGUUCCGGGGGAAGUAUGGUUGCAAAGCUGAAACUUAAAGGAAUUGACGGAAGGGCACCACCAGGAGUGGAGCCUGCGGCUUAAUUUGACUCAACACGGGAAACCUCACCAGGCCCGGACACCGGAAGGAUUGACAGAUUGAGAGCUCUUUCUUGAUUCGGUGGGUGGUGGUGCAUGGCCGUUCUUAGUUGGUGGAGCGAUUUGUCUGGUUAAUUCCGAUAACGAACGAGACUCUAGCCUGCUAACUAGGCGUAUUUUGACAUCCUAAAGGCCCGCCGGCUUGGGGUUCGCUCCUUGUCGCGCGCGGUUUUUACUGUCGCGGUACAAACAAUUCUUUUUAGAGGGACAGGCGGCUUCUANCCGCACGAGAUUGAGCAAUAACAGGUCUGUGAUGCCCUUAGAUGUUCUGGGCCGCACGCGCGCUACACUGAAGGAAUCAGCGUGUCCUCCCUGGCCGAGUGGCCCGGGUAACCCGCUGAACCUCCUUCGUGCUAGGGAUUGGGGCUUGCAAUUGUUCCCCAUGAACGAGGAAUUCCCAAU
rnacentral:rRNA from 1 species